AGUCUGCUGUAUAGUAGUGAGAAUAAGUGUUGCAGGUAUCGUUCUGGAAAGCAUUUGCAGAUGGACCUCAAAGACUUAUGAAUUUGGAGAAAGGAGGUCAUAAGCAAAUGGCAAAGGGCACAGUAAAGUGGUUCAACGAAUCCAAGGGUUUUGGGUUCAUCGAGCGUGAGUCCGGUGACGAUCUUUUCGUCCACUACUCUUCCAUACAGGGCGAUGGUUUCAAGACCCUGAGGGAAGGUCAGGCAGUCGAGUUCGAGGAAACAAAGGACGCGAAGGGUUCAAAGGCGAUAAACGUGAUCCCCCGGUAAUACCGGAAAAGGAUAUACAAAAAAAGCCCCCGUGAAAACGGGGGCUUUUUUU
rnacentral:sRNA from 1 species